GGUGUGUAGGGCAACGAGAGCCUCCUGUAAACACUGACCGCCUUCUUCCUCAGUUUCUACUGGUUUCCCAGUUCAUGGUAGAAAGUGAUGGAAUAGGUGUCGUCAGACCUCAUAACCUGGUACAAACCUGAACUUCUAGGGGACACAUUGGGAACCCAGAUCGUUACAGAGGUAGCUUUGGAGGUGGAGAGCCCAGCCAUGUAGGAGAGUCAGAAAGGAGCUACACACUACUGCUUGGCCUCGUCUGGCAUGGUGCUUCAGUGGAGAACCUGGAAGAUUCAGGAAUGUGGAGGAAGCUCUAUGGUUUUGCCACCAGAAUAAUGCUUUAACCCUGCUGCGCUGUACUCCUGCAAGUGUUCAGAUGUUGCAAGAGCAGGGAGAAGGCAUGUAAAUACCUACACAGAUUCCAACAGUAUCACUCAAAGGCACUGGAGUGCUGAAUACUCUACAAACACUGGGAAAAUGAAACAGAAGUACUGGAGUUACUGGCAGACUGAUCCUGUACCCAAGGAAGGCAAUGACAGUUUCCAUAACCCAUGACUAUACCCUGGAAGCCAAGAUUCUGCCUGUUUUGCUUAUGCUCAGUAUUAGAAUAUAUCUUACUGAUAUCAGUGCAGUUCUCAUGGCAUACCUUGAUGUAAGCAAGACUGACAAAGGUGGUCACCAGGCCACUCAUUCCAUUCUUUUUGGUCAAUUAUCUUUCAGGAUGUUCUAUAACAUGUUUGGUUUUGGUCCAUGAUACUAAAAAAGGAUUCAGUAUGGGAGGUGCUUUCCCUGCCAUAGGGUUAGCUGAAUAGAGCAACCUCGUCCUAUUAUCUUGGCUCCAGCAAAGGAUCAUAUGCCAAUCUUUAAAGGGAACAAACAACUUCUGUCCCUGUGCUUACUGGAGUCCUUACAACGCUUCUGUCCCAGCAUUCCCGUGGGAGAAACCAGCUUGAGUCCAUGUCCACACAUGUGAGAACAUUCCCUUGGCUAUUUCUUUCUCUGAGGAUUAGUGGCAUUUGAUUUGCUUGGUAAUAACAGUACUUGAGUAGAUAAC